GACGUAGGGCGCGAGCGUUGUCCGGAUUUAUUGGGCGUAAAGAGCUCGUAGGCGGCUUGUCGCGUCGUCCGUGAAAACUUGGGGCUCAACCCCCAAGCUUGCGGUCGAUACGGGCAGGCUAGAGUUCGGUAGGGGAGAUCGGAAUUCCACGUGUAGCGGUGAAAUGCGUAGAUAUGUGGAGGAACACCUGUGGCGAAGGCGCCUUGCUGGCCAAUUUCUGACGCUGAGGCGCGAAAGCGUGGGGAGCAAACAGG
rnacentral:rRNA from 1 species